rnacentral:rRNA from 1 species
CCUACGGGUGGCAGCAGUGGGGAAUAUUGGGCAAUGGGCGCAAGCCUGACCCAGCAACGCCGCGUGAAGGAAGAAGGCUUUCGGGUUGUAAACUUCUUUUAAGAGGGAAGAGCAGAAGACGGUACCUCUUGAAUAAGCCACGGCUAACUACGUGCCAGCAGCCGCGGUAAUACGUAGGUGGCAAGCGUUGUCCGGAUUUACUGGGUGUAAAGGGCGUGCAGCCGGGAAGACAAGUCAGAUGUGAAAUCCCGCGGCUCAACCGCGGAACUGCAUUGGAAACUGGCUGUCUUGAGAUGUCGAGAGGUAUGCGGAAUGCGCAGUGUAGCGGUGAAAUGCUUAGAUAUUGCGCAGAACUCCGAUUGCGAAGGCAGCAUACCGGCGGCGAUCUGACGCUGAGGCACGAAAGCGUGGGUAUCGAACAGGAUUAGAUACCCCAGUAGUC